rnacentral:rRNA from 1 species
AGUGAACGCUGGCGGUAGGCCUAACACAUGCAAGUCGAACGGCAGCACAGUAAGAGCUUGCUCUUACGGGUGGCGAGUGGCGGACGGGUGAGGAAUACAUCGGAAUCUACUUUUUCGUGGGGGAUAACGUAGGGAAACUUACGCUAAUACCGCAUACGACCUACGGGUGAAAGCAGGGGAUCUUCGGACCUUGCGCGAUUGAAUGAGCCGAUGUCGGAUUAGCUAGUUGGCGGGGUAAAGGCCCACCAAGGCGACGAUCCGUAGCCGGUCUGAGAGGAUGAUCAGCCACACUGGAACUGAGACACGGUCCAGACUCCUACGGGAGGCAGCAGUGGGGAAUAUUGGACAAAGGGCGCAAGCCUGAUCCAGCCAUACCGCGUGGGUGAAGAGGGCCUUCGGGUUGUAAAGCCCUUUUGUUGGGAAAGAAAAGCAGCAGGUUAAUACCCCGCUGUUCUGACGGUACCCAAAGAAUAAGCACCGGCUAACUUCGUG